GUGUCAGCCGCCGCGGUAAUACGUAGGGGGCAAGCGUUGUCCGGAAUUAUUGGGCGUAAAGGGCGCGCAGGCGGUCUUUUAAGUCUGAUGUGAAAGCCCGCGGCUUAAUCGCGGCAGGUCAUUGGAAACUGGAGGACUUGAGUACAGAAGAGGAGAGUGGAAUUCCACGUGUAGCGGUGAAAUGCGUAGAGAUGUGGAGGAACACCAGUGGCGAAGGCGACUCUCUGGGCUGUAACUGACGCUGAGGCGCGAAAGCGUGGAUAGCAAACAGGAUUAGAUACCCCUGUAGUCC
rnacentral:rRNA from 1 species